CUAAAGGCUCUUUUCAGAGCCACCUAUAGUUUCCCUAGAUAACUGU
rfam:Sarcophilus harrisii ctg7180002330402, whole genome shotgun sequence.